rnacentral:piRNA from 1 species
UGGGAUUGGAUCAUUAGCGGGGCUAGCUGC